GCAACAACAGCUCAGUUGCUUAGAUCAUGGUGCUGCUAAUGCCAAGGUUGCAGGUUCGAUCCCUGUAUGGGGCAGCUGCA